rnacentral:rRNA from 1 species
UCGAACGGCACCCCUCUCCGGAGGGAAGCGAGUGGCGAACGGCUGAGUAACACGUGGAGAACCUGCCCCCUCCCCCGGGAUAGCCGCCCGAAAGGACGGGUAAUACCGGAUACCCCCGGGCGCCGCAUGGCGCCCGGGCUAAAGCCCCGACGGGAGGGGAUGGCUCCGCGGCCCAUCAGGUAGACGGCGGGGUGACGGCCCACCGUGCCGACACGGGUAGCCGGGUUGAGAGACCGACCGGCCAGAUUGGGACUGAGACACGGCCCAGACUCCUACGGGAGGCAGCAUG